rnacentral:rRNA from 1 species
GACGAACGCUGGCGGCGUGCUUAACACAUGCAAGUCGAACGGUAAGGCCCCUUCGGGGGUACACGAGUGGCGAACGGGUGAGUAACACGUGGGUAAUCUGCCCUGCACUUCGGGAUAAGCCUGGGAAACUGGGUCUAAUACCGGAUAUGAGCUCCUGCCGCAUGGUGGGGGUUGGAAAGUUUUUCGGUGCAGGAUGAGUCCGCGGCCUAUCAGCUUGUUGGUGGGGUAAUGGCCUACCAAGGCGACGACGGGUAGCCGGCCUGAGAGGGUGAUCGGCCACACUGGGACUGAGACACGGCCCAGACUCCUACGGGAGGCAGCAGUGGGGAAUAUUGCGCAAUGGACGGAAGUCUGACGCAGCGACGCCGCGUGAGCGAUGAAGGUCUUCGGAUCGUAAAGCUCUGUCCUUGGGGAAGAAGGUCUUCGGACUUGACGGUACCCAAGAAGAAAGCCCCGGUAACUACGUG